rnacentral:tRNA from 1 species
GGGCCGUUAGCUCAGCGGAUAGAGCGCCCGACUUCUAAUCGGAUGAUCGUGGGUCCGAUUCCCACACGGCCCG